rnacentral:rRNA from 1 species
GCCUGCCCUGCAUGUUAAAGCAUGGAAUAACAAGGCAUCGACCACUCGGCGGUGCUUUUGUUGGUCUUUCCCUCCCGGUGGGAAUGCGCAGGCGUGCAMACUGCCGGCCUUCUGGCCGGUCUGGGUGCCGUCUCUUCGAGAUCAAUAGGGGCAAACGGGGAGAUACCUAUUGUGGGGAAAGCGGUGAAAUGCGAUGACCCCCAUAAGAGGAACUUCAGCGAAAGCAGUUCUCAAGACUGCCUUCGUUAAUCAAGAACGAGACUGUGGGGAUCAAAGAUGAUCAGAUACCGUCGUAGUCCACUAGCGUAAACGAUGCCGACUCAUCAUUGGGGGGCAUCUCUAACAAGCGCCCCCCAGUGGUUCUCCCCCCUGUAAGAGAAAUCUAAGUUUAUGGGCUCAGGGGGGAGUAUGGCUGCAAGGCUGAAACUUGAAGGAAUUGACGGAAU